rnacentral:rRNA from 1 species
AUUGAACGCUGGCGGCAGGCCUAACACAUGCAAGUCGAGCGAGCGGCGGACGGGUGAGUAAUGUCUGGGAAACUGCCUGAUGGAGGGGGAUAACUACUGGAAACGGUAGCUAAUACCGCAUACCAUCAGAUGUGCCCAGAUGGGAUUAGCUGGUAGGUGGGGUAACGGCUCACCUAGGCGACGAUCCCUAGCUGGUCUGCGAGGAUGACCAGCCACACUGAAACUGAGACACGGUCCAGACGCCGACGGUAGGCAGCAGUGGGGAAUAUUGCACAAUGGGCGCAAGCCUGCUGCAGCCAUGCCGCGUGUGUGAAGAAGGCCUUCGGGUUGUAAAGCACUUUCAGCGGGGAGGCGUUACCCGCAGAAGAAGCACCGGCUAACUCCGUGCCAGCAGCCGCGGUAAUUC